UUAGGUUGGAGCAUGUGUCUAGUUCUGGCCAGUGAAAGGUAAGCAGAAGCAUCAUGUAUCACUUGUAGGUCAAGGUGGGUGAGAAUCACGGGGAGCCCUCUUCCAUCUCUUGUGCAGUGACUUCGGAAUCGAUGCACUAAUACGGCAGCAUCACAAGAUGGAGAGGACUGGGGUCUCAGAGUGGAAGACAAUCUCUGCUGACAUCACCACUUUGUGCCCUCUACAGAGCAAUUGAACAGAGUCAUUUUUGGAACUGUUGGUGGGAGGCUGGAGCGAUAGAAUGCAAAUAGCUGCUUCUCCUUACUUCUAUGAGCCUCUGUUUCCUCGUCGAAAAACAAGGGAAAGUCUGAUUGGGCAGUUCUCCUUAGAGGCUGUCCUCAAGACAGUGACUCAGGAUCUGGGCUGCUUCUGUAUUACGGCUCUGCCAUCUCCUAGUGCCUCCAUGGACUCCUCUGCUUGGUCAUCACUCAGCCAUCAAGUAAAGAGAGAGACAGCAAGGAGGAUCACCCAGGAUGUUUCAUAGACAAGUCUGGAAGUGGUGUACAUUACUUCCCUCCACAUGCCAUUGCCCAGAACAUGGUCAACUAACACCAGCCUAACAGCAAGCAGGACUGGGACACGAGUCUUAUCCAGAAAGAGGAAGUGGAAUUGACUCACUUUUGUACACCAUCUUCAUGCAAAUGGUGGAGCCCUCCUCAACUGGAACUGCCCUCAAUAAGUCAUAAUGUGGACUUUGACCUCUGACCACAUUUGGAAAGUGACCAAAUCAAGACAGAAAAAUCUAACUUGCCAAAGACCACAUAGGAAGUUCUUGGCAAAGUCAGAUGAGAAAACAGAGUUCAUGAACUUCAAGAGCCAACAUUUUUAACCACUGCCUCUGUUCCUUGUUUUGGGAACCCUUUUCCAAUAAAAA
rnacentral:lncRNA from 1 species